GCGCAACGCAAGAGACUCAGCUAAGGUGUAGAAGAGGUUUUAUUAGUUGGAGAGAGUUCAAGUUAGGAGAUUAGAUUACAUAGAUUACAGACAGCAGAUAGAGAGUAGCUAGUGGUGAGUUGUAGAGAGAGUUUAGAGAUAGCAGAUAGAUAGUAGAUAGGAGAGCAGACAAAAGUAGGAGAUAAAUAGUAGAUAGAGACAGUGGUGUAGAGUAGAUAGAAUAAGUAAUAGCACAGUAAUAGUAAUGAUAGGUAAGGAAGACCCAGGGCUGUGCCUGCAGCACAGCAGCAAGACCAGCUGCUCUGACCCAAGCAGCAGGGAGAGACAGCGGAGAGGCGACUUAGUGCGGCUAUCCCAGAUCCAGUUACCUGCAGGAUCUGGGGCACAGCUGGCCCCGCAGCCUCCUCCAAGAAGACCUAAGCAGACCCAC